CUCAUCCUACGGGAGGCAGCAGUGGGGAAUAUUGCACAAUGGGGGAAACCCUGAUGCAGCGACGCCGCGUGAGUGAAGAAGUAUUUCGGUAUGUAAAGCUCUAUCAGCAGGGAAGAAAAUGACGGUACCUGACUAAGAAGCCCCGGCUAACUACGUGCCAGCAGCCGCGGUAAUACGUAGGGGGCAAGCGUUAUCCGGAAUUACUGGGUGUAAAGGGAGCGUAGACGGUGAAGUAAGUCUGGAGUGAAAGGCGGGGGCCCAACCCCCGGACUGCUCUGGAAACUAUUUGACUGGAGUGCAGGAGG
rnacentral:rRNA from 1 species